rnacentral:rRNA from 1 species
UAAUACCAGCACCCCGAGUGGUCGGGACGAUUAUUGGGCCUAAAGCAUCCGUAGCCGGUCAUGCAAGUCUUCCGUUAAAUCCAGCCGCUCAACGGUUGGGCUGCGGAGGAUACUACGUGGCUAGGAGGCGGGAGAGGCAAGCGGUACUCAGUGGGUAGGGGUAAAAUCCUUUGAUCCAUUGAAGACCACCAGUGGCGAAGGCGG